UACGAAGGGGGCUAGCGUUGCUCGGAAUCACUGGGCGUAAAGGGCGCGUAGGCGGCCGUUCAAGUCGGGGGUGAAAGCCUGUGGCUCAACCACAGAAUGGCCCUCGAUACUGGAUGGCUCGAGACCGGAAGAGGUUGGUGGAACUGCGAGUGUAGAGGUGAAAUUCGUAGAUAUUCGCAAGAACACCAGUGGCGAAGGCGGCUCACUGGCCCGGUACUGACGCUGAGGUGCGAAAGCGUGGGGAGCAAACAGG
rnacentral:rRNA from 1 species